ACCCUGGACGGGGGAUCACUCGGCUCGUCCGUCGAUGAAGAGCGCGGCCAGCCGCGAGAACUGAUGCGAAUUGCAGGACUCAGUGAACAUCGACACCUCGAACGCACAUUGCGGCCUCGAGAUCCCUUGUAUCGGGGCCCCGUCUGGUCGAGAG
rnacentral:rRNA from 1 species